CGACCGUGGCGACGCGGCUGUCUGGUCUGCAACUGACGCUGAGGCUCGAAAGCAUGGGUAGCGAACAGGAUUAGAUACCCUGGUAGUCCAUGCCGUAAACGAUGAUUACUAAGUGUUGGAGGGUUUCCGCCCUUCAGUGCUGCAGCUAACGCAUUAAGUAAUCCGCCUGGGGAGUACGACCGCAAGGUUGAAACUCAAAAGAAUUGACGGGGGCCCGCACAAGCGGUGGAGCAUGUGGUUUAAUUCGAAGCUACGCGAAGAACCUUACCAGGUCUUGACAUCUUCUGACAGUCUAAGAGAUUAGAGGUUCCCUUCGGGGACAGAAUGACAGGUGGUGCAUGGUUGUCGUCAGCUCGUGUCGUGAGAUGUUGGGUUAAGUCCCGCAACGAGCGCAACCCCUUAUUACUAGUUGCCAGCAUUAAGUUGGGCACUCUAGUGAGACUGCCGGUGACAAACCGGAGGAAGGUGGGGGACGACGUCAAAUCAUCAUGCCCCCUUAUGACCUGGGGCUACACACGUGCUACAAUGGAUGGUACAACGAGUCGCGAGACCGCGAGGUUAAGCUAAUCUCUUAAAACCAUUCUCAGUUCGGACUGUAGGCUGCAACUCGCCUACACGAAGUCGGAAUCGCUAGUAAUCGCGGAUCAGCAUGCCGCGGUGAAUACGUUCCCGGGCCUUGUACACACCGCCCGUCACACCAUGAGAGUUUGUAACACCCAAAGCCGGUGGGGGUAACCUUUUAGGAGCUAGCCGUCUAAAGUGGGACAGAUGAUAGGGUGAAUCUCGAGGGGGGCCGAAAAAAAAAAAAG
rnacentral:rRNA from 1 species